rnacentral:rRNA from 1 species
AAGACUAGAUGGGGUAUCCCUACAUAGCGGGUGGGACCCACGGUGAAUGGUUCAUCAAGUCUUCAAAAAAGAAUAUAUACGAUUGCAUUGCAUAUACUAACGGAUGCGAUCAUACCAGCACUAAUGCACCGGAUCCCAUCAGAACUCCGCAGUUAAGCGUGCUUGGGCGAGGGUAGUACUAGGAUGGGUGACCUCCCGGGAAGUCCUCGUGUUGCAUCCCUC